rnacentral:rRNA from 1 species
AGGACGAACGCUGGCGGCGUGCCUAACACAUGCAAGUCGAACGCGCUCCAUUCGGUAGCAAUACUGAUGAAGAGCGAGUGGCGAACGGGUGAGUAGCACGUGAGCAACCUGCCCCGAAGACCGGGACAACACCGGGAAACCGGUGCUAAUACCGGAUAUCCCUAUCGGACCGCAUGAUCUGAUAAGGAAAUGGAUUCCGCUUCGGGAGGGGCUCGCGGCCUAUCAGCUAGUUGGUGAGGUAACGGCCCACCAAGGCAUCGACGGGUAGCUGGUCUGAGAGGACGAUCAGCCACACUGGGACUGAGACACGGCCCAGACUCCUACGGGAGGCAGCAGUGGGGAAUAUUGCACAAUGGGCGGAAGCCUGAUGCAGCGACGCCGCGUGCGGGAUGAAGGCCUUCGGGUUGUAAACCGCUUUCAGCAGGGGCGAAUUCAGACGGUACCUGCAGAAGAAGCGCCGGCUAACUACGUGCCAGCAGCCGCGGUAAC